GAUGAACGCUGGCGGCGUGCCUAAUACAUGCAAGUCGAGCGGACGGACGCGAAGCUUUCUUCUCUGAUGUUACCGGCGGAUGGGAGAGUAACACGUGGCUCACCUCUCUAUGAUACUGGGAUAACAUCGGGACUCCUGAGCUAUUACCGGACAAUAUUUUGAACCGCUUGGUUCAAGCGUGUAAGACGGUCUUGGUGUCACCUAUCGAUGGACCCGCGCUGCAUUAGCUAGUUGGUAAGGUAACGGCUUACCAAGGCAACGAUGCAUAGCCGACCGGAGAGAGGGAUCGGCCACACGAGAGCGGGGACAGGGUCCAUGGUCCUACGGUACGCAGCAGUAGGGAAUCGUCCGCAGUGGGCGAAAGUAUUACGGAGCAACGCCGCGUGAGUGAUGGAGGUCUUCGGAGCGUAAAACUCUGUUAUUAGGGAAGAACAUAUGUGUAAGUAACUGUGCAGUACUUGACGGUACCUAAACAGAAAGCCACGGCUAACUACGUG
rnacentral:rRNA from 1 species